CACUAUACGGGGAGUUAGCGGUGCCCUGAACCUGCAAUCCGCUAUAGCAGGGUAGAAUUCCCGGCCUCGGGGCCUUGAGGCAGGUGGUGGCUUCGGCAAGUGGUGUUGACUACACGGUCUUGGACAAUGAAGCGUCAUGAACCAUGUCAGAUCCGGAAGGAAGCAGCAUUAAGUGAUUCCCCUUCAUGUGUACCGAGGGUGCCGUGUCCGAGCUAACGACCGAGG
rnacentral:SRP_RNA from 1 species